AAGUCGUUAGGUUUCCGUAGGUGAACCUGGAAGGAUCAUUAACACGUAUCCAACGUUAAACCCCCCGUGCACACAGCGACCUGCUCCCCUCAAUUUCGGUCUUUUGGCAAUCCCUCCGAACAGUUUUGAUUCAGGGACAUCCAAAGGGCCGGGGUAGGGUAUUAUAGUAGUCAAUGCAAAGCAACCUGGUUGAAGCAGAAAGUGUGAUGGCGUGAGCCGGAGAACGGACCGAGUGGUAGUUCAAAGGUGUCUUCUGUCGCGCACUGUGGAAAGGAAGACGCUUUACGAAUCACUGUCCAACACGGUCAGUGACCGGGUUCCUGGUCCUAGACCCCAUAUUCACCACCACAGUCGCAGACGAGGUAGGGAUACGUCCCUACCACCAAAUAAAUACUUGAACAACUGUUAACAAUGGAUAUCUUGGUUCUC
rnacentral:misc_RNA from 1 species